CCCUUAGAUGUUCUGGGCUGCACGCGUGCUACACUGAUAUUGCCAAUAUGUCAUUCUUAUCCGAAAUGGAUUGGGUAAUCAAGUAAUGAAAUUUCAUGCUUGGAAUCGGUAAUUGCAAUUUUAUCGUGAACAAGGAAUUCCUAGUAAGCACUAGUCAUCAGCUAAUGUUGAUUAUGUCCCUGCCCUUUGUACACACCGCCCGUCGCUACUACUGAUUGGGUGUUCAAAUGAGAUGCUUAGACCCUUGUUGCAUGGUUCAUUAUUGUGCUCCGAAAGGAAAAAGUUUCAAGCUUGAGUGUCUAGAGGAAGUAAAAGUCGUAACA
rnacentral:rRNA from 1 species